UGUGCAAGCUCGACAAAAAUUUUAUUGAGGGAUUCCCUUAGCUUUUCAACUUUUGCCUUGGUCGUGUCGGUGUGCACAUGCACUUCUACGGCAUUAGAUUUAGCUUUUUGGUGCAAAGCUCUAUGGAUCUCCACCUUGCACAUAUGAUUUAAAGUGUCAACUAAAAAAUGAUAUCUGUAGAGGGGCUAUAAUUAGCAGAAAGGUGAGAGGAGA
rnacentral:lncRNA from 1 species